UCGUGCAAUCAUUCCAACGAUAAAGCACCGGAUCCCAUCAGAACUUUGCAGUUAAGCAUGCUUUUGCUAGAGUAGUAAUGGGAUGGGUGACCUCCCAGGAAGUCCUAGUGUCUCACCCU
rnacentral:rRNA from 1 species